UGCCCAGCAACUCCUAUCCCUACCUCCUCUGGGGUACGAGUAACCUUGGGGAAGAUCGGGUAACCAACCCCCGGUGGGAACUUUGGUCGUAUGCUGACAGGGAAGG
rnacentral:ribozyme from 1 species